rnacentral:rRNA from 1 species
AUUGAACGCUGGCGGCAGGCCUAACACAUGCAAGUCGAGCGGAUGAAGGGAGCUUGCUCCUGGCUUCAGCGGCGGACGGGUGAGUAAUGCCUAGGAAUCUGCCUGGUAGUGGGGGAUAACGUCCGGAAACGGGCGCUAAUACCGCAUACGUCCUGAGGGAGAAAGUGGGGGAUCUUCGGACCUCACGCUAUCAGAUGAGCCUAGGUCGGAUUAUCUAGUUGGUGGGGUAAAGGCCUACCAAGGCGACGAUCCGUAACUGGUCUGAGAGGAUGACCAGUCACACUGGAACUGAGACGCGGUCCAGACUCCUACGGGAGGCAGCGGUUGGGAAUGUUGGACAAUGGGCGAAAGACUGAUCCAGCCGUGCCGCGUGUGUGAAGAAGGUCUUCGGAUUGGAAAGCACUUUAAGUUGUGAGGACGGGCAGUAAGUUAAUACCUUGCUGUUUUGACGUUACCAACAGAAUAAGCACCGGCUAACUUCGUG